CCUACGGGAGGCAGCAGUGGGGAAUAUUGGACAAUGGGGGCAACCCUGAUCCAGCCAUGCCGCGUGAGUGAAAAAGGCCUUCGGGUUGUAAAGCUCUUUCAGAUGCGAAGAUGAUGACGGUAACAUCAGAAGAAGCCCCGGCUAAUUUCGUGCCAGCAGCCGCGGUAAUACGAAAGGGGCAAGCGUUGUUCGGAUUUACUGGGCGUAAAGGGCACGCAGGCGGUCUUGCCAGUCAGGGGUGAAAGCCCGGGGCUCAACCCCGGAACUGCCUCUGAUACUGCAAGACUAGAGACUAGGAGAGGGUGGUGGAAUUCCCAGUGUAGAGGUGAAAUUCGUAGAUAUUGGGAGGAACACCAGAGGCGAAGGCGGCCACCUGGACUAGAUCUGACGCUCAGGUGCGAAAGCGUGGGGAGCAAACAGGAUUAGAUACCCUGGUAGUCCACGCCGUAAACGAUGAGUGCUAGUUGUCGGGACUUCGGUUUCGGUGACGCAGCUAACGCAUUAAGC
rnacentral:rRNA from 1 species